UGGGGAAUUUUGCACAAUGGGGGAAACCCUGAUGCAGCGACGCCGCGUGAUUUAGAAGGCCUUCGGGUUGUAAAAAUCUUUUUUAUGGGAUGAAAAUGACAGUACCAUAAGAAUAAGGUCCGGCUAAAUACGUGCCAGCAGCCGCGGUAAUACGUAUGGACCGAGCGUUGUCCGGAAUCAUUGGGCGUAAAGGGUACGUAGGCGGCCCAGUAAGUUAGAAGUGAAAUAAUAUAGCUCAACUAUAUAAAGCUUUUAAAACUGCUAGGCUUGAGAGAUGGAAGGGAAAGUGGAAUUCCUAGUGGAGCGGUGAAAUGCGCAGAUAUUAGGAAGAAUACCGGUGGCGAAGGCGACUUUCUGGUCAUCAUCUGACGCUGAGGUACGAAAGCGUGGGUAGCAAACAGG
rnacentral:rRNA from 1 species